rnacentral:rRNA from 1 species
UGGGGAAUAUUGGACAAUGGGCGAAAGCCUGAUCCAGCCAUGCCGCGUGUGUGAAGAAGGUCUUCGGAUUGUAAAGCACUUUAAGUUGGGAGGAAGGGUUGUAGAUUAAUACUCUGCAAUUUUGACGUUACCGACAGAAUAAGCACCGGCUAACUCUGUGCCUG